rnacentral:tRNA from 1 species
GUCGAUAUAGUUUAGACAAAACGCUAGAUUGUGGAUCUAGAGACAGAAGUUAAAGUCUUCUUAUUAACC